rnacentral:rRNA from 1 species
GACGAACGCUGGCGGCGUGCUUAACACAUGCAAGUCGAACGGAAAGGCCCUGCUUUUGUGGGGUGCUCGAGUGGCGAACGGGUGAGUAGCACGUGAGUAACCUGCCCUUGACUUUGGGAUAACUUCAGGAAACUGGGGCUAAUACCGGAUAGGAGCUCCUGCUGCAUGGUGGGGGUUGGAAAGUUUCGGCGGUUGGGGAUGGACUCGCGGCUUAUCAGCUUGUUGGUGGGGUAGUGGCUUACCAAGGCUUUGACGGGUAGCCGGCCCGAGAGGGUGACCGGCCACAUUGGGACUGAGAUACGGCCCAGACUCCUACGGGAGGCAGCAGUGGGGAAUAUUGCACAAUGGGCGGAAGCCUGAUGCAGCAACGCCGCGUGCGGGAUGACGGCCUUCGGGUUGUAAACCGCUUUCGCCUGUGACGAAGCGUGAGUGACGGUAAUGGGCAAAGAAGCACCGGCUAACUACGUG